rnacentral:rRNA from 1 species
GAUGAACGCUGGCGGCGUGCCUAAUACAUGCAAGUCGAGCGAACGGACGAGAAGCUUGCUUUUCUGAUGUUAGCGGCGGACGGGUGAGUAACACGUGGAUAACCUACCUAUAAGACUGGGAUAACUUCGGGAAACCGGAGCUAAUACCGGAUAAUAUUUUGAACCGCAUGGUUCAAAAGUGAAAGACGGUCUUGCUGUCACUUAUAGAUGGAUCCGCGCUGCAUUAGCUAGUUGGUAAGGUAACGGCUUACCAAGGCAACGAUGCAUAGCCGACCUGAGAGGGUGAUCGGCCACACUGGAGCUGAGACACGGUCCAGACUCCUACGGGAGGCAGCAGUAGGGAAUCUUCCGCAAUGGGCGAAAGCCUGACGGAGCAACGCCGCGUGAGUGAUGAAGGUCUUCGGAUCGUAAAACUCUGUUAUUAGGGAAGAACAUAUGUGUAAGUAACCGUGCACAUCUUGACGGUACCUAAUCAGAAAGCCACGGCUAACUACGUG